GUGGUCAAGCUACUAAGGGCGCACGGGGGAUGUCUUGGCAUUGGAAGGCGAUGAAGGGCGUGGAAGUCUGCGAAAAGCCCGGGGGAGUUGACAAACGAGCGUUGAUCCUGGGAUCCCUGAAUUGUUCCUGCACUGAAUACAUAGGUGCGUGGAGGCGAACCUGGUGAACUGAAACAUCUAAGUAACCAGAGGAAAAGAAAGAAAAAUCCAUUCCGUCAGUAGCGGCGAGCGAAAUCGGAAUAGCCCAAACCUCGGGGGUUUUCCCCUGGGGGGUUGUAGGACUCUCAAUAUGGGAAGCAGUUAGGUAGUAGAACGGCUUGGAAAGGUCGAUCACAGAGGGUGACAGUCCCGUAUACGACACCAGAGCUGAUACCAGAGAGCACCUGAGUAGGUCGGGUCACGUGGAACCCCGACUGAAUCUACGGGGACCAUCCCGUAAGGCUAAAUACUCUCCAAUGACCGAUAGCGAACUCAGUAGCGUGAGUGAAAGAUGAGAAGAACCCCUGCUAGGGGAGGAAUGUGAACCUGAAACCGUGUGCCUACAAGCGGUCGGAGCCCUAUGAUUCGUUCAGGGUGACGGCGUGCCUUUUGCAUAAUGAUCCGGCGAGUUACGUUUAGCGGCGUGGUUAAGUCCUUACGGGACGAAGCCCCAGGGAAACCGAGUGUUAAUAGCGCGAUAUUGUCGUUGGAUGUAGACGCGAAACCUGAGUGAUCUACCCAUGAGCAGGUUGAAGCGCGGGUUAAACUGCGUGGAGGACCGAACCCACUUGGGUUGAAAACCGAGGGGAUGACUUGUGGGGAGGACUGAAAGUGUAAUCAAACCAGGAGAUAGCUCGUUCUCUCCGAAAUAGCUUUAGGGCUAGCCUUGUGCCACUACAACACGGGGGUAGAGAUACUGAAUCGGAUGGGGGCCCUUUCCGGGGUACCCCACUGAACCAAACUCCGAAUACCGUGUUGACUAUCACAGGAGUCAGUCUGCGUGGGAUAAGCUGCGUGGUCGAGAGGGAAACAACCCAGAUCGUCGGCUAAGGGCCCGAAGUCAUGCUUAGUCACUAAGGAAGUUGAAUUGCCGAGACAGCCAGGAUGUUGGCUUAGAAGCAGCCACCAUUUAAAAAGUGCGUAACAGCUUACUGGUCGAGCAGUUCUGCGCCCAUAAUGAACGGGAGUAAGUAUGACCCCGAAGCCGCGGGUUCGAUGAUUCUUCGGAUGAUUCGAGCGGUAGGAGAGCGCUGUACAUCAGAUACGAGUCGGACCGAAAGGACCGAUGUUGGGGUGUACAGGUGAUUAUGCCGGAAUGAGUAACGAUAAAACAGGUGAGAAUCCUGUUCGCCGAAAGCCUAAGGUUUCCUGGGGAAGGCAAUUCCGCCCAGGGUUAGCCGGUGCCUUAGUCGAGGCCGAAAGGCGUAGACGAUGGACAGCAGGUUAAUAUUCCUGCGCUACCUCUGCCCUAUACCGAUGGAGGGACGGCGUCCGAAAAGUGAGCGGUACGAAUAGAAAUGUCCGUGCAGCAGACUGAGAUGGUGGGAUAGGAAAAUCCGCCCGCGUAAUUCAAGGUCUGAGGCCGAGAGCGUUUAAGUUCUCGAAGUCAUUGGAAGGACGUCCAAGAAAAGCUUCUAGGUGGGUACGUAACCGUACUAAAACUGACACAGGUAGGCGAGACGAGUAGUCUAAGGCGCUCGGGAGAACGGUGGUUAAGGAACUCUGCAAAAUGGCCCCGUAAGUUCGCGAUAAGGGGUGCCCCUGGUGGUUCACGCUGCUGGGGGCCACAGUAAAUCGGCUCCUGCGACUGUUUAUCAAAAACACAGGUCUCUGCUAACACGUAAGUGGAUGUAUAGAGACUGACGCCUGCCCGGUGCCGGUAGGUUAAGGAAGGCGGUUAUCCCUUCGGGGAGAAGCUGGCGACCGAAGCCCCGGUAAACGGCGGCCGUAACUAUGACGGUCCUAAGGUUAACAUUCGUGUUACGCUCAAUACGCUAGCCUUAGUAAAACUUGGCUAUAUGCUGGAAACUCUGAGUAUCCGACGGUACUUGCUUCGGCAAGUGACAAUCUGAUCGGUGCAGACAAUCAGCAGGAAAGGCUGAGCAACUCUUUGCUCAGAAUCCUCAGAGACUAUACGCCAGGCAAUCGAGUUUUUGCGAUUGAAGAGAUAGUCCGAGCUGCAUGGCGACAUGCAGAGGUUGGCAGAAAUGACCAACCCUCGCUCAAGCACUAAGCUAACAGCCACUCGCUGAAGGCUGACCGCUUGUUCCGAGUAACAACACUGAGCGAAGUUCCUUGUCGGGUAAGUUCCGACCUGCAUGAAAGGCGUAAUGACAGGAGCACUGUCUCAACCACCGACCCGGUGAAAUUGUAGUUGUGGUGAAGAUGCCACAUACCCGCGGUUAGACGGAAAGACCCCGUGAACCUUUACUGCAGGCUGAUAUUGGGCUGAGGUAUAUGAUGUGUAGGAUAGGUGGGAGGCUUUGAACCGGCGACGCCAGUCGUUGGGGAGCCAACCUUGAAAUACCACCCUUGAUGUGCUUUAGUUCUAACGUUGAUUCCGUGAAUCCGGACAACGGACAGUGUCAGUUGGGCAGUUUGACUGGGGCGGUCUCCUCCCAAAGAGUAACGGAGGAGCACGAAGGUUGACUAAGUACGGUCGGACAUCGUACGGUUAGUGUAAUGGUAGAAGCCAGCUUAACUGC
rnacentral:rRNA from 1 species